rnacentral:pre_miRNA from 1 species
CCGGCCCGCGCCGAGCCCCCUCGCACAAAACCGGACUGAACGUAUUGUUCGUUCGGCUCGCGUGAGGCGGAGGC